AUGCCGGCAAACACGCACGGCCGCCCUGCCACACUGCAUCCGUCGUGGGUGUGCUGCGUGCACCCACGUACUGGACUGCACGGCACCGGCGUAGGUGGUAGCCGAGGAAGGGAGCUCGUCAAGGGAGGUGCACUGACGAGACCCGUGGUGCGCGCCUGUGGCUCCUCUUGGGCUCGCUCGCUGACCACCGCACCUACCUCCUCCUCAUCCACCAAGCCCCGCACCUACCUCCUUCUCAUCCUCCAGGAGAAGGUGGAUGGAGGGAGGGCUGUUGCCCUCGGUCUGCCGGCUGUUGGUGUUGCGGAUCUGGUCGCCGAAUCCGGCGAUUUUGGGAGGAAGAAGGUGGAGUAUGGGUGGCCAGCGGUGAGGGACCUCGUCGUCCGUGAAGGAGUAGCACACCAGGGUGAGGUGCGCCGCCACCCGCUGCACACCAGGGACAGCGGUAGCGAGCGGGCGAGGCUGGGCCCUGGGGAAGAGGUCGAGUGGGGCGGGACAGGGACACGGCGCCGAAGGAGAAGACGAGGUGAUGUCGGCUGGAAGGGAGGGGAGGCGCGGUGGUCGGCAGGGAGGAGGAAUAGGGUGGAGGUGGUGUGUGGGUUGGGGAUUUGA
rnacentral:rRNA from 1 species